rnacentral:rRNA from 1 species
UUUGUAUACAGUUUAUAUACCGUUGUUAUUAGAAUAUUUUAUUAGAAUGUUAAUUUUCAAUAUUUUUUAUAAGAAAUUAUAUCAGAUCAAGGUGUAGCUAAUAUUUAAGUAGAAAUGGGUUACAAUAAAAUUAAUUAAAUGGAUAUAAAUUUGAAAUUUUUAUUGAAGGUGGAUUUGAUAGUAAAAUUAUAAAGAUUAAUAAUUUGAUUUUAGCUCUAAAAUAUGUACACAUCGCCCGUCACUCUUAUUAUUAAAAUAAGAUAAGUCGUAACAUAGUAGAUGUACUGGAAAGUGUAUCUAGAAUGCAAUUUAAAGCUUAUUUAGUAAAGUAUUUCAUUUACAUUGAAAAGAUUUUUGUGCAAAUCAAUAUAAAUUGAUUAUAUUUUAUUUAUUAAUUUUUUUUUUGUUAAUUUAUUGUAUUAAAAAUAUUUAUAAAAAUUUAUGUUUUAGUAUUGUAAAAUAAAAAAUAAUUUUAAUAAUAGUUUAUUAGUAUUGUGAAAUAAUAUUGAAAUAAUUUGAAAAAUU